AAUUGAUUAGUCUUAUCAAAUAUUUUUAAAAUUUUUGUUUGUCUUUUCAAAGAACCAUUUAUUUUAUGAAUCAUCUGUAUUUUUCACCCUCACCCUAGUUAUUUUCAUUUUAUUAAUUACUUCCCCACUUCUUAUUUUGUCUAAGUUCGUGUUUUCCAGCCUUUCUUGCUUUCUGCUUAUUAUAGGUCUUCCUGUACUGUCGACAAAAUUUAUCAGAAAAAAAUUCAAGGCAAGGAGAUUUAUUUUUUUAAAAAUGAAGAAGAAGAAAAGAAAAAAGAAAAAGCAGUUUGCAAACCGGAGAGUCACAGCCCAUGGAACAAAAAG
rnacentral:lncRNA from 1 species